rnacentral:rRNA from 1 species
AUUGAACGCUGGCGGCAUGCUUUACACAUGCAAGUCGAACGGUAACAGGCCGCAAGUUGCUGACGAGUGGCGUACGGGUGAGUAAUGCAUCGGAACGUGCCCAGUCGUUGGGGAUAACUACUCGAAAGAGUAGCUAAUACCGCAUACGAUCUAUGGAUGAAAGCGGGGGACCGUAAGGCCUCGCGCGAUUGGAGCGGCCGAUGUCAGAUUAGGUAGUUGGUGGGGUAAAGGCUCACCAAGCCAACGAUCUGUAGCUGGUCUGAGAGGACGACCAGCCACACUGGGACUGAGACACGGCCCAGACUCCUACGGGAGGCAGCAGUGGGGAAUUUUGGACAAUGGGCGCAAGCCUGAUCCAGCAAUGCCGCGUGCAGGAAGAAGGCCUUCGGGUUGUAAACUGCUUUUGUACGGAACGAAACGGCUCUGGUUAAUACCCGGGGCUAAUGACGGUACCGUAAGAAUAAGCACCGGCUAACUACGUG